GCCUGCGCACAGUGCCGCAGACGCUACGUUCCGCUCCACCCUCCCAGCCAAAUCGAAAGAGGAAUGCUAAAGGGUAAUUUAUCCCGCAUUAAUCCUUACAGCAAUCCCACAAGGCUGUGAUGCAGAAGAAAUGAAUGGCAACCGGCACUAACCACAGGCUGAUCAACCCCCCUGGAAUGUUUGCUGAAGAGCAAGGCAGCAGACGCUAGCCCACAGAGGAGCCCUAUCACCAGCCAUCAGCAAAGACCAGACCUGAUGGAGACUGGGAGACAUGCCUGGCAGCUCAGAGACCUUGGGAGCUUUCUGGGGCCUCCAGGCUACUCGUGCUGAGGCAGGGGAGCCAAUUCUCUCUCUCUCUCUCUCUCUCUCUCUCUCUCUCUCUCUCUCUCUCUGUCUUUCUCUCUCUCUCUCUCUCUCUGUGUGUGUGUGUGUGUGUGUGUGUGUGCAUGUGUGUGUGUGAUGGGCACAGUCCUUGGCGGGUAGCAGUACUCUAUAAAAGCUCCUGCCACAUCCAUGACCUUGGCACUAAUGGGAAGCUCCUUUUGUGGACAGAUUACAUGAACUUGAACAAGGAGUUUAGAUAUCAAAUGGCCUCGUAGAGCUGUAAGAGGGGGGGGCCCAGAUGAAUCUUGCUUGAAUGGACAAAUGCUUUCAUGUAAGUAGGAGGUGGAUUAGGUUCUGGAACUGCCUUGUUCCUCUCAAUUUUCCCCACUCUUCCUCCUCUUCCUCUGUUUUCUUUGUGGUGCUGGAGGUGGAUGCCAGGACUUUACAUGUUAGGCAACUGCCCCACCACUAAGCUGCAUACCAGCCUCAGAUGGAAUUUUCUUAAGUAAGGAAGUCCAGGAAAUAUUUCAAAUAGGCAACAGAAUCUAAGAUUUGUCCACAUUGACAAUUCCCAACUCACCAGCCAACCAACAAAUCAACCAACCAGCAGCCAACCAGCAAAUCAACCAGCCAGUUGAACCACCAAGCAACCAGCCAACCAUCUAAACCACCAACCAACCAACUAAGCAGCUGACCCAUAAACCAAAUAGCCAACCAACUGUACAGUCAACCAACCAACCAAUCAAACAACAAGACAACCAAACAAGUAAACAACUAAUGGGAUAACCAUCAAUCAACAACCAAUGAUUCAAUGGACUGAACAACUGAACCAACUGAUCAACCAACCAAUUGAGUAAUUAACCAACCAAACAACCAGUCAUCUAAACAAUGGAGCCACUAAUCAACCAACCAACCAACCAACCAACCAACCAACCAACCAACCAACCAACCAACCAACCAACCAGCCAACCAACCAAUAAACAAACCAAUCCACCAAUCAACUGAACAACCAACCUAGCAUGCAAGCAACUAAGUAACAAAUAACCAAGUAGAACCACUAAUUGAAAUAUUCACUGGGUUGAAAAGAAACCCCUUCUUCCUGUGUUUCUGCCCUCCAUUUCCCCCCAGCUCCAGUAGUGUUGCCUGUUCCUCAGACAGCGCCCUCUUUGCUGGGCCAUUCCACCACUGCCUCUUUCCAUUCCUCUAUAUUGCUGUGCAGGGCACCUCCGUCCCUUGCACUGCUGGUCACAGGUUCCUUCCCUGCAGCCAGUGCACAGACAAUAUGGCUAGAGAGUCAUACGAUAAAGGUCCGGGUCCCUGCUAUCUGACCCUUGAGGAACUCUGUGUGUGUGUGUGUGUGUGUGUGUGUGUGUGUGUAUGUGUGGUUUUGUUUUGUUUCUGUUCUCCCACUUCUCCAGGUGGAGAUAGUAAAUUCCCUGGCUUCCUCA